UAAUACGGAGGGUCCAAGCGUUAUCCGGAUUUAUUGGGUUUAAAGGGUGCGCAGGCGGAACUUUAAGUCAGUGGUGAAAUCUUGCCGCUUAACGGUAAAAUUGCCAUUGAUACUGAAGUUCUUGAAUGUAGUUGAGGUAGGCGGAAUGUGUUGUGUAGCGGUGAAAUGCAUAGAUAUGACACAGAACGCCAAUUGCGAAGGCAGCUUACUAAGCUACGAUUGACGCUGAGGCACGAAAGCGUGGGGAGCGAACAGGAUUAGAUACCCUGGUAGUCCACGCCGUAAACGAUGAUCACUCGCUGUUUGCGAUACACAGUAAGCGGCUGAGCGAAAGCAUUAAGUGAUCCACCUGGGGAGUACGAUCGCAAGGUUG
rnacentral:rRNA from 1 species